UUUUUUUGAGAUGCAGUCUUGCUCUUGUCAUCCAGGUUGGAAUGCAACGGCGAGACCUUGGCUCACUGCAACCUCCGCCUCCCAGGUUCAAGUAAUUCUCCUGCUUCA